AGACGGGUGAGUAACACGUAGGAAUCUACCAUAAAGUGGGGAAUAGCCCUCCGAAAGGAGGAGUAAUACCGCAUGUGGUCGCAAGACCAAAGCCUUCGGGCGCUUUAUGAGGAGCCUGCGCGCUAUCAGUUAGUUGGUGGGGUAAUGGCCUACCAAGACUACGACGGCUAGCCGAUGUGAGAGCAUGAUCGGCCACAAGGCUACUGAGACACGGAGCCUACACCUACGGGUGGCAGCAACUGGGAAUCUUGCGCAAUGGGCGAAAGCCUGACGCAGCGACACCGCGUGUGGGAAGAAUUUCUUCGGAAUGUAAACCACUGUGGCGAGGGAGGAAAUUUUGACAGUACCUCGCUAGAAAGCACCAGCUAACUACGUGCCAGAAGCUUCGGUAAUACGUAGGGUGCAAGCGUUAUCCGGAUUUACUGGGCGUAAAGCGUCCGUCGGCGUCCCGACAAGUUGCUUGUCCAAGCCUGAGGCUCAACUUCAGAAAGGCAAGCAAAACUAUCA
rnacentral:rRNA from 1 species